CUCGUAGGCGGUUCGUCGCGCCCGGUGUGAAAGUCCAUCGCUUAACGGUGGAUCCGCGCCGGGUACGGGCGGGCUUGAGUGCGGUAGGGGAGACUGGAAUUCCCGGUGUAACGGUGGAAUGUGUAGAUAUCGGGAAGAACACCAAUGGCGAAGGCAGGUCUCUGGGCCGUCACUGACGCUGAGGAGCGAAAGCGUGGGGAGCGAACA
rnacentral:rRNA from 1 species